rnacentral:rRNA from 1 species
UACGUAGGGCGCAAGCGUUGUCCGGAAUUAUUGGGCGUAAAGAGCUCGUAGGCGGCUUGUCACGUCGGGUGUGAAAGCCCGGGGCUUAACCCCGGGUCUGCAUUCGAUACGGGCAGGCUAGGGUGUGGUAGGGGAGAUCGGAAUUCCUGGUGUAGCGGUGAAAUGCGCAGAUAUCAGGAGGAACACCGGUGGCGAAGGCGGAUCUCUGGGCCAUUACUGACGCUGAGGAGCGAAAGCGUGGGGAGCGAACAGG